rnacentral:rRNA from 1 species
UAUUAUAUAUUAAUUUACCCUGAAUAAAUAUAUUUCAUUAUAUUUAUCUAAAAAAUGAAAUUUCUAACAUAAAUAAUACAUUAAUUAUUCAUUAUUUAGAUAAAAACCAGGAUUAGAUACCCUGUUAUUCUAAAUAACUAUAAUAUUUCAAAGAAAAAAAACAAAAUAAAUUUGACGGUAUUAACUUUUACAAAGGAAUUUGUUUCUCAAUCGACAACUCACGAAAAACCUUACUUAAUAAAUAUUUGUAUWCCACCGUAUACGAAAUUAUUUAAAAUUAAUUUCAAAAUAAUCAAAACUUUUUUAAAUCAGGUCAAGGUGCAAUUUUAUUAAGAUGAAAUGAAUUACAUUAAUAAUUAUUUACUUAUAAAAAAUGAAAACCCUUUUAAAAAUAGAAUUUGUCAGUAAAUUUUAAUCAUAAUGUAAAAUUGAAAAUCAACAUUAAUAUG